UUUCAUUUCACCUUUAUUAGCAUUCAACUUAUGAGGAGCCUGUUACAGAAAUAUUAGAUGACUGUAUGCAAGAUGUUAUAGUCUACUACCCUUCAAGGGAUGACCAUGAUUCAGUUGCAGUUAUUUAUAGAGAGAUGACCAUGAUUUAGUUGAGCUCUCUUGGACUACAUGAUAGAAAAUCAAUUUUUAAUAAC